rnacentral:snRNA from 1 species
GGAUGUGAGUGCAAUUGGACUGCUCUGAUCUGAUCCGUCACACCAUUGUGACAGAUCGCCAAGGUUGAGUCGGUUGAUCUGGGUGGCUAGAUGGGUGCCCCCUUUCCUCCCUCGCCAAUUCAUGCACGUUCCUCCUGAAGCAGCACCGUUGGCCAAAAAGGAUGACCAUCACCAUUAGAGGAGAACCCUUCUUUGGUCAAAGGUAUAUGAGUAGCCGUGCUCCCCUGCCAGAACCUCCAAACGAGCUCUCAAGAAUAUUAAGAUGAACUGGUUUGAUUAAGUGGCCUGGGACCAGUGGAACUGUGUGACUACACGUGUCC